AGCGGGGUAAAGGAAUUGGUCAACUCAUCGGGCUCAUGACCUGAAGACUGCAGGUUCGAAUCCUGUCCCCGCCU
rfam:Triticum aestivum genome assembly, contig: Triticum_aestivum_CS42_TGACv1_scaffold_502143_6BL